AUGUACCUCAGAUAUCUCCUCCUCACUGCCUCCUGAGGCAACCACUGGGCACCGUGGGACAGAUCACUGUCACCCAGCAAGAAGGAGAAGUCACAGUGAAGCAGAGAGACACCUUCCAGACAACCUGCACCUACCAGAGCUCCUUCUUUCAAGGCUUGCUCUGGUACCAGCAGAGGAAAGGCCAAGGUCCCCACCUGGUUUCUUCUCAGGUCGCAGCUGGCCGCAAGCACAGUGGACGUUUCACAACUGAACUGAACACCACGGGGCAAUACAGCCUCCUGCAGCUGGAGGAAGUCGAGGUCUCUGACAGUGCCUUGUACCUCUGUGCUGUGCAAGACACCCUGGCCAUGCUCCCUCAUUCGGGGGACAAGUGGGAGGAGGAGGAGGACAGGGGCUGUUUCAAAGGCUUUUUCUCACUUCACCCUGACUCCAACUUCUGA